UUACGGCCACAUCAUAUUGAAACACCAGUUCCCGUACGAAGUUAAGCAACGUCGAGCCUGGUCUGUGCCUUGAUGAGUGACCGUUUGCGAAUACCAGGUGCUGUAA